GAGCUCACUUUGGCAGCAUAGACACUAAAACUGGAAGGAUUGCAGAGAAGACUGGCAUGCAACCUGCGUAAGGGUGAUGUGCAAAUUCUAGAAGCAUUCCAUAAUAGA
ensembl:snRNA U6 U6 spliceosomal RNA